rnacentral:tRNA from 3 species
GCCGUCGUAGCUCAGAGGCAGAGCAACGCACUCGUAAUGCGUAGGUCGGAGGUUCGACUACUCUCGACGGCACCA